CAUCUCAAAAAAAAAAAAAAGAAAAAAAAAGAAAAGAAAGAAAGUUUAUUAGAAUGCUGCAGAAGAGUGCAAUGAGGUGCCUCAGCAAGAGGACUGAGUACGCCGGGUGGAUUUCUCCUUAAGGGCAUUUAUAGGCCUUAAAGUGGAGGCUUAACAGUAAUUUGGACCAUAUUAGCCACGUAAGUCAUGAUAAAUGAUUACAUUUAUAGUAAUUUUGGUGCCUUAAUGUCAGCGACGGUUGUACAGUGAGUUUCGUCAUGGUAUUCUGGAGACACAUAGAAAUUAUAGUUACUUACACGUUUUUUGGGGGAAGAAAUCUGGAACCAGAUGCCUGCUUUAGAUAAUAGGGAGGUUUAGUUACUUUUGAUUUUCCCCAGAUAAGGAGUUUUGCCUCGGAGGGCCUGUUUGAUGUUUGAUGGUCGCCAGGUGGUUUUUGCUCUCCUCAGGCCCAUCCAUAAGGGGCUUUUGUCAUCCCAAUGUUUGUUGCCUGGUCAGUCCUCAGAAAGCCCAAUCCCAACAGGCCUACCCUGUGUUACAGGUUAAUGGGUCUGUGACUGGCAGCCCCUGACAGAUUGUGUGUUACUGGAGGCACUGUAUGUACAAACACGUUCCUUAACUGUCUCUGGGAACAAGAGUCUUUUGCUGUCUUUGCCUAUUCCUGGGAGUGAAUUUUGGGGGCAUCAUUGGAACCUCCUCUUCUAUGCCCUCUCUAAACCUGGAAAAUAAUCUUUUGGGCUUUCCAUGAAGGGGCUUCUUGGAUUGAGUUGCUAUUGGAAUAAAUACAUCAUUGGAAAUUCUGAUUGUCAAUAGCCAAAAGAUGAAUCCUUUACAUUAGAAAGAUCCCUAAAUUAAAAAAAAAAAAAGAUUUUAGAGGUCUCUCAUUCUAAACAAUUGCCUUAUUUGUAUUUGUGGGGAGAUUAAAGGAAAGACACAUAAUAAUGUUGUGGCUAGCCUUAGAAAUCCUCUUCACAAAAUUAAAGAGCAAAAAUCUGACCUGUAACAAGUUAAAAUCCUUUGUGCGCGCAAACCAUUGCUUUGGAUCCCUGCAGGAUUCACAAUGAAGACUGCUGCAUCUUGGAAACUACUUAAAAUUCUGUACUUUCACUACCAUGGCCUGGGUUCAAUUCCCAAUAGAGGAACCAGUCCCUUUUGGUUUGAUAUUUGUGUGACUUUUGAAUUCUUUCUUUUGUUUUUUUUUUGGAGACGGAGUCUUGCUCUGUCGCCCAGGCUGGAGUGCAGUGGCAUGAUCUUGGCUCACUGCACCCUCUGCCUCCUGGGUUUAAGCAAUUCUCCUGCCUCAGCCUCUGGAGUAGCUGGGAUUACAGGUGUGAGCCACCACGCCCGGCUGAUUUUUUUGUGUGUGUGUAUUUUUAGUAGAGAUGGGGUUUCACCAUGUUGGCCAGGCUGGUCUCGAACUCCUGACCUCGUGAUCCUCCCGCCUUGGCCUCCCAGAGUGCUGGGAUUACAGGUGUGAGCCACCACGCCCAGCUAAUUUUCUUUUUUUUUCUUUUUUUUUUUUGUAUUUUUAGUAGACAUGGGGUUUCACCGUGUUGGCCAGGCUGGUCUCGAACUCCUGACCUUGUGAUCCGGCUGCCUCGGCCUCCCAAAGUGCUGGGAUUACCAGCGUGAGCCACGCACCCAGCCAACUUUUGACUUUGUGCGGAACUCAUUUGUUGUUGACCCUUUCCCCCUCCACUGGCAGCUUUUGAUUUCCUUUCUUUGAGCUCUUUGGGGUGGCUCUGGAUGUCAUCAGGACUGCUUUGCGCCUCUUUGGAGAUGGCUUAUGUGUCCUUGGUUAAGUCCAUAGCUUUAGUUAAGGCUUAUUGGUUUUGGUGAGUCACUUGGGAGGUACCUUUGGUUUUAAAAAAAAAGGUCUCAAAGCCAUGGCUAUCAGCUGUUGGUCUCAGCUAAAAUCUGAUAAUAAGAUAUUUGAAAGGAUUUUAAAAAAGAGCUCUGUGGUCAGAAGUUGGCUUAAUUAAAAACAGGUGAGCUGAUCUUCAAGCCAUGUAUCUACAGCCUUUUCUGCUUUUGGACCCUGUUUCUGGGAAUUUUUUUUUCAGGUGACUGAAACCCCUUUAAAUUGUGUGUUUGGUCCUUCUGUUUGGUUCCUUUGUUGGUAUAAUUUUGAUGAGAAAAAUGUAAAAUUGUAUUGGCCUUUUAGAACCUUAACAUUUUUCCAAAUUGGCUCCUCUAAGGAUUGCAGUCCCAUUUACUUCUACCCCUCCGUGCUCCUCCAUCCCCUUUGCCAUCUUUGGUACCUAAUGAAGGGAUCUACAAGGGACUUCUGAUGACUUAGAGACCCCUUGGGGAACGCAAAGAAAGGUGCCACGCGCCCCGCUUUUGUCUUCCUUAUGGGGCCUGAGGAGUCGUGGGUAGCUUCCUCUCGGGUCUAAAGCUUGGCUGUCUUUGGCACUGUGUCACUGGAUCUCUUUGGCUUUGGGGGUACCAGGGAUUACGUUGCACUGUGAGACAGUGCAUGACCUGAGUGUGUGUGAUGGCCGGCAGGUCACUGGCGAGGGCUGCCUCACAGUUUUGGAGGUGGCUGAAAGCAGUUGUAGUGAAUGGUUGUUCCUGCAGUGGCUGCUUGUUUCUCUGCAUGUUUAGAUGAGAAAGGCACAAUCUGAACACUUGGAGACUAUGGAAGCACUUGGCGUCAAAGGCUGAGACUCCGUGGGCUGAUUGCUGUGGGUCUCCCACCAGCCUCAGGGGAAUGUCUUCAUAGUGAGGUACACUGUGGAAACACUGUAUGGCUUUGUCUCAUAUAUAUCUCUUUUUAGAGGGAACUCAGCAUUCAGUGUAAAUGUGGGAUCCUUGAUUUUAAAAGAUCUAGAUGCUCUGCCUUCCAGCUGCACCUGUUUUUCACAUAUUUAAAUAUUAGGUCCUCCAAACUGCAAAUGCUUUUUUGGCCAUGUUCAUUAAUGAGCUCUGUCCUGAGCCCAGUGGUCUAGUUCAAAAAUGGAGAAUAAAUUAAUAGCCACAUAUUUAAAUAACAUUGUUGUCCUUAUAAAAUCCUGUGGUGAAUUUCUAUGACUUUUUGUUACCUCAGCAUCCAUUUAAAAUCUUCCUUUAACAUACUAAAUCAAAGCUUAAACUUUCUCCCUGUGGAAUUGCUUGAACCAAGGAGGCAGAGGUUGCAGUGAGUCAAGAUCGUGCCGUUGCACUCCAACCUGGGCGACAGAGCAAGACUCCGUCUUGAAAAAAUUCAGUCUUUGGCUUUGAGCCUCUACAUUCUGGGGUCAAGACAAGUGGACAUGAUGUGGCCUGGAGACAUCUGUGUGUCCGCAGUACCUAAGCCCCAUCCUCCCUGGCCCAGCUGUACCCCCCGGUCAUGCUGUUUGUCUGCAGUGCCCGAGCCCCGUCCUCCCUAGCCCAGCUGUGCCCCCCGGCCAUACUGUGUGUCUGCAGUGCCUGAGCCCCGUCCUCCCUAGCCCAGCUGUGCGCCCCAGCCAUGCUGUGUGUCUGCAGUGCCCGAGCAUUGUCCUCUCUUGCCCAGCUGUGCCCCCCGGUCAUGCUGUGUGUCUGCAGUGCCCGAGCAUUGUCCUCCCUGGCCCAGCUGUGCCCCCCGGUCAUGCUGGGAGGGGUUGAGUCCUCCAGGCAUUGUCUUUGUAGUAGCCCAUUCUCACACUGCUAAUAAAGACAUACCUGAGACUGGGUGAUUUGUAAAGGAAA